rnacentral:rRNA from 1 species
UGAGGGGGGCUGCUCCUAGUACGAGAGGACCGGAGUGGACGCAUCACUGGUGUUCGGGUUGUCAUGCCAAUGGCACUGCCCGGUAGCUAAAUGCGGAAGAGAUAAGUGCUGAAAGCAUCUAAGCACGAAACUUGCCCCGAGAUGAGUUCUCCCUGACUCCUUGAGAGUCCUGAAGGAACGUUGAAGACGACGACGUUGAUAGGCCGGGUGUGUAAGCGCAGCGAUGCGUUGAGCUAACCGAUACUAAUGAACCGUGAGGCUUAACCUU